UAUUGGAGCGGUUAGUGGCGGACUGGUGAGUAACACGUAAGCAACCUGCCUAUCAGAGGGGAACAACAGCUAGAAAUGACUGCUAAUACCGCAUAUGCCUUGAGUAUCACAUGGUACAAAAGGGAAAGGAGCAAUCCGCUGAUAGAUGGGCUUGCGUCUGAUUAGAUAGUUGGUGAGGUAACGGCCCACCAAGUCGACGAUCAGUAGCCGAACUGAGAGGUUGAACGGCCACAUUGGGACUGAGAUACGGCCCAGACUCC
rnacentral:rRNA from 1 species